GCGGAAUUGGUGGAAUUGGCAGACACGCAGGAUUUAGGUUCCUGUGCCUCAGGGCAUAAGGGUUCAAAUCCCUUAUUCCGCA
rnacentral:tRNA from 1 species